CGUGACGGGUGAGUAACACGUGGAUAACCUACCUAUAAGACUGGGAUAACUUCGGGAAACCGGAGCUAAUACCGGAUAAUAUAUUGAACCGCAUGGUUCAAUAGUGAAAGACGGUUUUGCUGUCACUUAUAGAUGGAUCCGCGCCGCAUUAGCUAGUUGGUAAGGUAACGGCUUACCAAGGCAACGAUGCGUAGCCGACCUGAGAGGGUGAUCGGCCACACUGGAACUGAGACACGGUCCAGACUCCUACGGGAGGCAGCAGCG
rnacentral:rRNA from 1 species